rnacentral:ncRNA from 1 species
AAAGCCUGCAGGGGGAGCCAUUUUGGCUGAGAUGGACGUAUGUCCAGACCCUUUGAACCUGUGAGUUAGCACUCGCGUAGGGAUGUAGCUUCUUUGAUGG